rnacentral:rRNA from 1 species
UGAGGAAUAUUGGUCAAUGGGCGGGAGCCUGAACCAGCCAAGUCGCGUGAGGGAAGACGGUCCUAUGGAUUGUAAACCUCUUUUGUCGGGGAGCAAAGACACCUACGCGUAGGUGGAUGAGAGUACCCGAAGAAAAAGCAUCGGCUAACUCCGUGCCAGCAGCCGCGGUAAUACGGAGGAUGCGAGCGUUAUCCGGAUUUAUUGGGUUUAAAGGGUGCGUAGGCGGGAUGUUAAGUCAGCGGUAAAAUUGAGGGGCUCAACCCCUUCGAGCCGUUGAAACUGGCAUUCUUGAGUGAAUGAGAAGUAUGCGGAAUGCGUGGUGUAGCGGUGAAAUGCAUAGAUAUCACGCAGAACUCCGAUUGCGAAGGCAGCAUACCGGCAUUCAACUGACGCUGAAGCACGAAAGCGUGGGGAUCAAACAGGAUUAGAUACC